UUGAGCCGUAUGAGGGGAAACCUUCACGUACGGUUCUUAGGGGAGGAUGUGGUGGCGACGCCAUGUCCUUACCCGAC
rfam:Xylella fastidiosa 9a5c, complete genome.